rnacentral:rRNA from 1 species
GUCGAGCGGACAGAAGGGAGCUUGCUCCCGGAUGUUAGCGGCGGACGGGUGAGUAACACGUGGGUAACCUGCCUGUAAGACUGGGAUAACUCCGGGAAACCGGAGCUAAUACCGGAUAGUUCCUUGAACCGCAUGGUUCAAGGAUGAAAGACGGUUUCGGCUGUCACUUACAGAUGGACCCGCGGCGCAUUAGCUAGUUGGUGAGGUAACGGCUCACCAAGGCGACGAUGCGUAGCCGACCUGAGAGGGUGAUCGGCCACACUGGGACUGAGACACGGCCCAGACUCCUACGGGAGGCAGCAGUAGGGAAUCUUCCGCAAUGGACGAAAGUCUGACGGAGCAACGCCGCGUGAGUGAUGAAGGUUUUCGGAUCGUAAAGCUCUGUUGUUAGGGAAGAACAAGUGCAAGAGUAACUGCUUGCACCUUGACGGUACCUAACCAGAAAGCCACGGCUAACUACGUGCCAGCAGCCGCGGUAAUACGUAGGUGGCAAGCGUUGUCCGGAAUUAUUGGGCGUAAAGGGCUCGCAGGCGGUUUCUUAAGUCUGAUGUGAAAGCCCCCGGCUCAACCGGGGAGGGUCAUUGGAAACUGGGAAACUUGAGUGCAGAAGAGGAGAGUGGAAUUCCACGUGUAGCGGUGAAAUGCGUAGAGAUGUGGAGGAACACGNCAGUGCUGCGAAGGCGACUCUCUGGUCUGUAACUGACGCUGAGGAGCGAAAGCGUGGGGAGCGAACAGGAUUAGAUACCCUGGUAGUCCACGCCGUAAACGAUGAGUGCUAAGUGUUAGGGGGUUUCCGCCCCUUAGUGCUGCAGCUAACGCAUUAAGCACUGCGCCUGGGGAGUACGGUCGCAAGACUGAAACUCAAAGGAAUUGACGGGGGCCCGCACAAGCGGUGGAGCAUGUGGUUUAAUUCGAAGCAACGCGAAGAACCUUACCAGGUCUUGACAUCCUCUGACAACCCUAGAGAUAGGGCUUUCCCUUCGGGGACAGAGUGACAGGUGGUGCAUGGUUGUCGUCAGCUCGUGUCGUGAGAUGUUGGGUUAAGUCCCGCAACGAGCGCAACCCUUGAUCUUAGUUGCCAGCAUUCAGUUGGGCACUCUAAGGUGACUGCCGGUGACAAACCGGAGGAAGGUGGGGAUGACGUCAAAUCNNCAUGCCCCUUAUGACCUGGGCUACACACGUGCUACAAUGGACAGAACAAAGGGCUGCGAGACCGCAAG